rnacentral:rRNA from 1 species
UACGAAGGGGGCUAGCGUUGCUCGGAAUCACUGGGCGUAAAGGGUGCGUAGGCGGGUCUUUAAGUCAGGGGUGAAAUCCUGGAGCUCAACUCCAGAACUGCCUUUGAUACUGGCGACCUUGAGUCCGGGAGAGGUGAGUGGAACUGCGAGUGUAGAGGUGAAAUUCGUAGAUAUUCGCAAGAACACCAGUGGCGAAGGCGGGUCUCUGGACAGUUCCUGACGCUGAGGCACGAAGGUCAGGGGAGCAAACGGGG